rnacentral:rRNA from 1 species
UGAACGCUGGCGGCAGGCCUAGCACAUGCAAGUCGGGCGGAUGAAGGGAGCUUGCUCCUGGAUUCAGCGGCGGACGGGUGAGUAAUGCCUAGGAAUCUGCCUGGUAGUGGGGGAUAACGUCCGGAAACGGGCGCUAAUACCGCAUACGUCCUGAGGGAGAAAGUGUGGGAUCUUCGGACCUCACGCUAUCAGAUGAGCCUAGGUCGGAUUAGCUAGUUGGUGGGGUAAAGGCCUACCAAGGCGACGAUCCGUAACUGGUCUGAGAGGAUGAUCAGUCACACUGGAACUGAGACACGGUCCAGACUCCUACGGGAGGCAGCAGUGGGGAAUAUUGGACAAUGGGCGAAAGCCUGAUCCAGCCAUGCCGCGUGUGUGAAGAAGGUCUUCGGAUUGUAAAGCACUUUAAGUUGGGAGGAAGGGCAGUAAGUUAAUACCUUGCUGUUUUGACGUUACCAACAGAAUAAGCACCGGCUAACUUCGUG